rnacentral:rRNA from 1 species
UACGGAGGGUGCAAGCGUUGUCCGGAAUCACUGGGCGUAAAGGGCGCGUAGGCGGCCCGGUAAGUAGGGGGUGAAAUCCUGCGGCUUAACCGCAUGGCUGCCUUCUAAACUGUCGGGCUCGAGCACGGUAGAGGCAGAUGGAAUUCCCGGUGUAGCGGUGGAAUGCGUAGAGAUCGGGAAGAACAUCAGUGGCGAAGGCGGUCUGCUGGGCCGUUGCUGACGCUGAGGCGCGACAGCGUGGGGAGCAAACAGG